CUAGUGAUUAAGAGUUUGAUUAUGGCUCAGAACGAACGCUGGCGGCGUGCUUAACACAUGCAAGUCGAACGUGAUCCAGAGCUUGCUCUGGUGAAAGUGGCGCACGGGUGAGUAACGCGUGGAUAACCUGCCCUGGUAUCUGGGAUAACAUCUCGAAAGGGGUGCUAAUACCGGAUAAGCUUACGGAGCCUUCGGUCUCUGUGAGAAAAGGUGGCCUCUGAAUAUGCUACCGUAUCAUGAUGGGUCCGCGUACCAUUAGCUAGUUGGUGGGGUAAUGGCCUACCAAGGCGACGAUGGUUAGCUGGUCUGAGAGGAUGAUCAGCCACACUGGAACUGAGACACGGUCCAGACUCCUACGGGAGGCAGCAGUGGGGAAUUUUGCGCAAUGGGGGAAACCCUGACGCAGCAACGCCGCGUGAGUGAUGAAGGCUUUCGGGUCGUAAAGCUCUGUCAGAGGGGAAGAAAUGGGGUGUGCUAAUAUCACGCCUUCUUGACGGUACCCUCAAAGGAAGCACCGGCUAACUCCGUGCCAGCAGCCGCGGUAAUACGGAGGGUGCAAGCGUUGUUCGGAUUUAUUGGGCGUAAAGCGCGUGUAGGCGGUUUCUUAAGUCUGAUGUGAAAGCCCUGGGCUCAACCCAGGAAGUGCAUUGGAUACUGGGAGACUUGAAUACGGGAGAGGGUAGUGGAAUUCCUACUGUACGAGUGAAAUCCGUAGAUAUUACGAGGAACACCGGUGGCGAACGCGGCUACCUGGACCGAUAUUGACCCUGAGACGCUAAAGCGUGGGGAGCAAACAGGAUUAGAUCCCUGGUAGUCCACGCUUCCACGAUGAAUACUAUGUUGUCGC
rnacentral:rRNA from 1 species